rnacentral:rRNA from 1 species
GACGAACGCUGGCGGCGUGCUUAACACAUGCAAGUCGAACGGAAAGGCCCUGCUUUUGUGGGGUGCUCGAGUGGCGAACGGGUGAGUAACACGUGAGUAACCUGCCCUUGACAUUGGGAUAACUUCAGGAAACUGGGGCUAAUACCGGAUAGGAGCUCCUGCUGCAUGGUGGGGGUUGGAAAGUUUCGGCGGUUGGGGAUGGACUCGCGGCUUAUCAGCUUGUUGGUGGGGUAGUGGCUUACCAAGGCUUUGACGGGUAGCCGGCCUGAGAGGGUGACCGGCCACAUUGGGACUGAGAUACGGCCCAGACUCCUACGGGAGGCAGCAGUGGGGAAUAUUGCACAAUGGGCGGAAGCCUGAUGCAGCAACGCCGCGUGCGGGAUGACGGCCUUCGGGUUGUAAACCGCUUUCGCUUGUGACGAAGCGUGAGUGACGGUAAUGGGUAAAGAAGCACCGGCUAACUACGUG